UUUUUAUGGAGAGUUUGAUCCUGGCUCAGGAUGAACGCUGGCGGCGUGCCUAAUACAUGCAAGUCGAGCGAACAGAUAAGGAGCUUGCUCCUUUGACGUUAGCGGCGGACGGGUGAGUAACACGUGGGUAACCUACCUAUAAGACUGGAAUAACUCCGGGAAACCGGGGCUAAUGCCGGAUAACAUUUAGAACCGCAUGGUUCUAAGUGAAGAUGGUUUG
rnacentral:rRNA from 1 species